GUUCCAGCAGCCGCGGUAAUACGUAGGGGGCCAGCGUUGCUCGGAAUUACUGGGCGUAAAGGGUUCGUAGGCGGUGCGGCAAGUUGGGAGUGAAAUCUCUGGGCUCAACUCAGAGGCUGCUUUCAAAACUGCCGUGCUCGAGUGCGGGAGAGGCGAGUGGAAUUGCAGGUGUAGCGGUGAAAUGCGUAGAUAUCUGCAGGAACACCCGUGGCGAAGGCGGCUCGCUGGACCGCAACUGACGCUGAGGAACGAAAGCUAGGGGAGCAAACAGGAUUAGAAACCCCAGUAGUCC
rnacentral:rRNA from 1 species